UACGGGGGGGGCAAGCGUUGUUCGGAAUUACUGGGCGUAAAGGGCUCGUAGGCGGCCAACUAAGUCAGACGUGAAAUCCCUCGGCUUAACCGGGGAACUGCGUCUGAUACUGGAUGGCUUGAAUCCGGGAGAGGGAUGCGGAAUUCCUGGUGUAGCGGUGAAAUGCGCAGAUAUCAGGAGGAACACCGGUGGCGAAGGCGGUGGUCUGGGCCGGCACUGACGCUGAGGAGCGAAAGCGUGGGUAGCAAACAGG
rnacentral:rRNA from 1 species